UUUUCCCUGCGGUGUUCGUGAGGGCUCAUAUUCUUUGAACCAAUUCUUGAAAUUUGGCUGCGAGCUCGAUUAAUGCUGUUGUGAUCGUCUUUUUAGAUGAACCUGAUGCAAACUGUUCGUAGCCGCCUUGGACUCAAAGGUUCAAGAUCUCGGUCUAACGGCAUCUGCGGGGGACUA
rnacentral:other from 1 species